rnacentral:misc_RNA from 1 species
AACAAGGUUUCCGUAGGUGAACCUGCGGAAGGAUCAUUACCUUUCAGUACAGAAGCGUUGUGUUGGUUGAGUUGUGCCGGUUGAGUCUCGCUGACAAGUGGGAUUCCUGGUGGCAACUCCCUUCAUAAUUCUCCCUGUCUAUCAUCCUUGUCUUUUGCGUACUAUUGUUUCCUCGGUGGGCUUGCCCACCGGUUGGACAACCUUAUAACCUAUUUAAUUUUCAAUCAGCGUCUGAAAUAAUAUAAUAAUUACAACUUUCAACAACGGAUCUCUUGGUUCUGGCAUCGAUGAAGAACGCAGCGAAAUGCGAUAAGUAGUGUGAAUUGCAGAAUUCAGUGAAUCAUCGAAUCUUUGAACGCACAUUGCGCCCCUUGGUAUUCCAUGGGGCAUGCCUGUUCGAGCGUCAUUUGUACCCUCAAGCUUUGCUUGGUGUUGGGUGUUUGUCUUUUCCACGCGAUCAGACUCGCCUUAAAAUAAUUGGCAGCCAGUGUUUUGGUUUUGAAGCGCAGCACAAGUCGCGAUUCAGCUUAUAUCACUAGUUUCCAUUAAGCAUUUUAUCACUUUUGACCUCGGAUCAGGUAGGGAUACCCGCUGAACUUAAGCAUAUCAAUAA